rnacentral:rRNA from 1 species
AUUGAACGCUGGCGGCAUGCCUUACACAUGCAAGUCGAACGGUAACAGGUCUUCGGAUGCUGACGAGUGGCGCACGGGUGAGUAAUACAUCGGAACGUGCCCGAUCGUGGGGGAUAACGAGGCGAAAGCUUUGCUAAUACCGCAUACGAUCUACGGAUGAAAGCGGGGGAUCUUCGGACCUCGCGCGGACGGAGCGGCCGAUGGCAGAUUAGGUAGUUGGUGGGAUAAAAGCUUACCAAGCCGACGAUCUGUAGCUGGUCUGAGAGGAUGAUCAGCCACACUGGGACUGAGACACGGCCCAGACUCCUACGGGAGGCAGCAGUGGGGAAUUUUGGACAAAGGGCGAAAGCCUGAUCCAGCCAUGCCGCGUGCAGGAUGAAGGCCUUCGGGUUGUAAACUGCUUUUGUACGGAACGAAAAGCCUCUUCCUAAUAAAGAGGGGUCAUGACGGUACCGUAAGAAUAAGCACCGGCUAACUACGUG